GGCGGAAGGGGCGAUCCGAAGGUUCCGCUUCCGGCAGCGAAGGGGCUCGGGGAAGCUGAGCAGCAGGCACGAUGUCCGGUCGCGAGGGUGGUAAGAAGAAGCCUCUGAAGCAGCCCAAGAAACAAACCAAGGAAAUGGAUGAGGAAGAUAUAGCUUUCAAACAAAAACAAAAAGAAGAACAGAAAAAACUGGAAGAGUUAAAAGCAAAAGCUGCUGGGAAGGGACCACUUGCCAGUGGUGGGAUUAAGAAAUCUGGCAAAAAGUAGAAGUUCCUGUGUAGAUAAGAUGGUGAUUCCUGUUGGUUUCUUUCUUGCUUUGUGACAUCUGCAUUUCCUACUUCAACAUCUGUAGCAGCCUGCAGCCAAGAUUAAGUAUUAUCUUAAUGAGUCCAUUGUACAUUGUAAUAAACUUUUUUUAAAAAUCA